UACGGAGGAUGCAAGCGUUAUCCGGAAUGAUUGGGCGUAAAGCGUCCGCAGGUGGCUGUGUAAGUCUGCUGUUAAAGAGUGAGGCUCAACCUCAUAAAAGCAGUGGAAACUACACAGCUAGAGUGCGUUCGGGGCAGAGGGAAUUCCUGGUGUAGCGGUGAGAUGCGUAGAGAUCAGGAGGAACACCGGUGGCGAAGGCGGCAUCCUGGACCAACACUGACACUGAGGAGCGAAAGCCAGGGGAGCAAACGGG
rnacentral:rRNA from 1 species